rnacentral:rRNA from 2 species
GUCGAGCGCGGGAAGCGAGUGGAUCCCUUCGGGGUGAAGCUCGUGGAACGAGCGGCGGACGGGUGAGUAACACGUGGGCAACCUGCCUGUAAGAUCGGAAUAACCCCGGGAAACCGGGGCUAAUGCCGGGUAAUACUUUCUUUCGCAUGAAGGAAAGUUGAAAGAUGGCUUCUCGCUAUCACUUACAGAUGGGCCCGCGGCGCAUUAGCUAGUUGGUGAGGUAACGGCUCACCAAGGCGACGAUGCGUAGCCGACCUGAGAGGGUGAUCGGCCACACUGGGACUGAGACACGGCCCAGACUCCUACGGGAGGCAGCAGUAGGGAAUCUUCCGCAAUGGACGAAAGUCUGACGGAGCAACGCCGCGUGAACGAUGAAGGUCUUCGGAUCGUAAAGUUCUGUUGUUAGGGAAGAACAAGUACCGUGCGAAUAGAGCGGUACCUUGACGGUACCUAACGAGGAAGCCCCGGCUAACUACGUGCCAGCAGCCGCGGUAAUACGUAGGGGGCAAGCGUUGUCCGGAAUUAUUGGGCGUAAAGCGCGCGCAGGCGGUUCCUUAAGUCUGAUGUGAAAGCCCACGGCUCAACCGUGGAGGGUCAUUGGAAACUGGGGAACUUGAGGACAGAAGAGGAGAGUGGAAUUCCACGUGUAGCGGUGAAAUGCGUAGAUA